GAUGAACGCUAGCUACAGGCUUAACACAUGCAAGUCGAGGGGCAGCAUGAUCUUAGCUUGCUAAGAUUGAUGGCGACCGGCGCACGGGUGAGUAACGCGUAUCCAACCUGGCCCGCAGUAGGGAACAGCCCGGCGAAAGUCGGAUUAAUGCCCUAUGUUCUCCUUUGCGGGCAUCUAACGAGGAGCAAAGAUUCAUCGGUAAGGGGUGGGGAUGCGUUCCAUUAGGUAGUAGGCGGGGCAACGGCCCACCUAGCCGAUGAUGGAUAGGGGUUCUGAGAGGAAGGUCCCCCACAUUGGAACUGCGACACGGUCCAAACUCCUACGGGAGGCAGCAGUGAGGAAUAUUGGUCAAUGGGCGUGAGCCUGAACCAGCCAAGUAGCGUGCAGGAUGACGGCCCUAUGGGUUGUAAACUGCUUUUGCCGGGGAAUAAAGUGAGGGACGUGUCCCUUUUUGUAUGUACCCGGAGAAUAAGGACCGGCUAAUUCCGUGCCAGCCGCCGCCGUAACAC
rnacentral:rRNA from 1 species